GCUUGCAGCCAGAAAAAGCACUUGGAUACUUUCCUUUUACAAAGAACCUUUAGCUAUACUGUUUGAAAUCUCUUCAGCAAAAGUUACUUUCCAUCUUUGCCCCUGACGAAGGCCAAAACAUAAGGUGACCGAAACGCGUUGGGCUUGCCUUUUUAAUAAACUGCUUUGGAAUUAUUUUCAUAAACACACUUUUUGGCAUCUUGGGGUUUUUCCCCCUUUUUUCUUCCUCUCAUAAAUUACUUGCAACAGCAUCUCUGAGAAUGGAAUAAACUGAAAAUGUGACGCUAAACUAAAUGUAUGAAUAUGAACAGCUCUGCUGGAUCAGACUAAAGGACCAUCUAGUCCAGCAUCUUGCUUCCCUCAGUAGACUUCCCCUGGGAGUCUGAGGGCAGACUGGCUGCUAUUCCUCAGCAACAUUAAUCUAUUGUAUGCUGCUCCUGAAUCUGGAGAUUCCAUCUAGU